GCUCGGGCCCCGGGGGGCAGUGAGGACGCUCGGGCCCCUGGGCUGCUCGCUGAGGCCGCGGAGAGAUUUUUCUGUUGGAGAGAUGACUGACUGGGAGAAGAUGGAUUUCACACAGCUGGUCUAGAACGAGUGGGGGUGCUGGAGGGCUCGUACUGAGGAGAGGUGGGUGCUGAUUAUGGCUUCAGAGGAACUCUGAAGAAAACUGUUGGGCAGUAUUGGGCUUCGGACAUGUAGGACUUAUGGAAGCCUGUGUGAACAAGUCACUACACAUGUGGUGGUUGUAACUCCAUGUAGAGACCUGCACACCUGCUUGUUGUGAAGAGAUCACCUGACCUGUAGGGCCAAACCCUGUGUGAAGCCAUAAUGUGUAAAAGGGGUUUCACCAGGGUGAGUGUGACCCUUUCAGGGUGGUGUCCUCUCAAGGGAAUGAACAGCACUCCAGCUUGCAAAAUGUCUUCUGGCUGUGGUCAGAAUAAAGUCUUGAGUUUGCUAAUUCAGUGUAAUGCUCUGCAUUUACUGCUACAUAUGCUUGAAUCCCUUAGGACAGCAUUGUUUUGGAAGGUUUUUUUUUACCUCAUGCUCUUCCUUAGCCAGCAGAACUCUGAAACUGUAAGGUACUGCAUAUUCACAACUUCAAGGAAAGUUUGUAUGAGAAGAUGUUUAGUACCCACAGAAAAAAAUAUGACUGAAGGCAUUUGCUUGGCAAAUCAUUAUCAUGAUCAUUAAUAUGCCUCCUUUCCAGACUGGCAUGUUUGUGUUGUUGUUAUACUUCUGUAGAAGUAUGAGAACACAGCUUUUGGAGUGUUAUUUUCAUCUGAUGAAUUAACCAAAUAUUUAUGAAACACUAGAAUUAAUAUACUGCUUAACAAUGGCUGUGAAACAGCAAUUAAUAAUGUAAGCUACCUUGAGAAGCCUUGAAAAUCUGUUGUUUGAUCCAGUAUUCUUCAAAGAAAAUUUGAAAACUUCAUGUGCACAACCACUUCGAAGGAAAAAGGAUGGAAACACACUUGGCAAUACAUACUGUAGAGGGAGCAGGUUGCUUUAGUUGCUUGCUUGCCUUGAAAUAAAUGGGUCCCUAUAGUCAGAAAGAGUAGAGGCCUGUAAGGUGCUGUGCUGUUUCAAUAGAUAUGUUUCUUGCUUUGCCUACACUUUCUGUGUAAAUUAUUGUUGAAAGAGGUCAAAAGGUCUUUUAUUUCAGGUAUGCAGCUUUGGAUCAGAGUCUAGGCUCUUGACUAUAAACUCUGCUGCACCCUAAGAGCUACUCACUGAAAAGAAAUAAACUGCUGGAUUAGAAUAUUUUAGUGGGAGUUAGUGUAUUGUAUUAAUACAGUACAUUCAGGAGGCUAAUGAUAAUCAAACAGUGACACUGGUGGCUGCUCCUUUCAUUUUGUGGAUUGUAUUGUUUACAGUGGCUUGCUUAAAAACAGGAAGCAUAAAAGACCCCUAUUCAUUUAAUUUUAAAAAGGUUUAAAUAUGUGCUUUAUAUGAAAACUUGGUAAGUAAUAGCAUUUAACAUUGAGGCUGACCUUAUGAUUGGAGUUGGAGGAUAGAAGGUGGGAGACUUUUCCUUUCCCCAGCUUGUACAAAGAUUUCCUGCAUGUAAUAAACUCACUGAAUAAACUUGCUGAAACAAAACUCACCAGAUAGCUCGACUUUGCUAGUCUCUGUUAUGAAAAACUAAAAUUAGUCUGUAGAGAAACCAUUUUUAAGAUGUCAAAUGAGCGUCUUCCGCAGUUUUGGGUCAGAGAAGACCCAAGUGGAAUCAUUACUCUUGAUUCAGGUCUAGGAAUGGAACUACGCUAAUUUGUAUCAGAUAAGGGUGUCUCCCUCUUACCACAUGUUACUUUUGGACCAAUUUGUGAGUGCUGUCAAAAUUCCAGGAGUGUACAACCCCAUGAGAUUGGUGUUGUUUGUUUGUUUUGUGUAACAUCCUGGUGGAUGUUUUCAAAAGAACCCAAGAUAUUCAAGUCAUAAGAACACAUUGAGGAACUUUGUAAGUGCUCUCACUUUUGCUUGUCUGAAGUACUUGUGCUACAUAAGUAUACUCCUAGUUUAGCCAUUUCUUACUGAGGGCUGUACUGUAUUUUGCCCUACCUUAACUUCAAGAAAACACUUGGUAUUUGUUGUAAGGCAGGUAUUGGCACCUCUGCUGGAACAGUAGCAGAGGUGUAACCUAAAAAUAGCACUAAAAAUAGCACUAAAGUGCUAUUUACACUUCAUGUGAAUCUUUGGUAGAAGCUUUAUUACAUUUGCCUUACUUCACCACUAUUUAAUCUUGUUUAUGGAUGUGUCAAACAAACAUGAAUAAAGCAAAUAGAGAGUAAGGAUUGGUCUGAGCUGGAUAAAUCCAAUUGCAUGGUGACUAGGAUAGUCAUCCUCACUUUAGAGUAAUAAAACCAAACAACAAUAUCUUGUCAUGCUGUUGCAGCUGUAUUUUCUUAAGAGUUUUCAUACUACUUUUUUUUCUACCAGAACACUCAAAAUGCGAUAAAUGUUUUGAUAUUAAAGCAUCAGUUAUCCCCCAUGUACCCCAGGUGCUGAAGUGGAAUAGUGUAAUAUGCUUGUAAACAGUCAGAUCUUUCUGCUCUCUUUGAAUGGCUACUGUGAAAUUUGUAGAAUCCUAAGAAAACCUCAUUGCAGUCUUCAGCAUCCUCAUGAGGGGAAGAGGGGAGGCAAGUACCAAUAUCUUCACUUUCUUGACCAGUGACAGGGCUCGAGGAAACAGCAGGAAGCUACAUUGAGGGAGCUUUAGGUUGGAUAUCAGGAAAAAGAUUUUCACCCAUAGGAUGGUUGGGCACUGGAAUGGGCUCCCCAGGGAAGUGGUCACAGCACUAAACCUGUCUGAGUUCAAGAAGUAUUUGGACAAUACUCUCAGGCACAUGAUGUGAUUCUUGGGGUGUCCUGUGCAGGGCCAGGAGUUGGACUUGAUGAUCCUGAUGGGUCCCUUCCAACUCAGCUUAUUCUGUGGUAAGUGGCACUGUCAGCUGCUUCAGCAAUUGCAGGUAUGUCAUUGCACUUGCAGCCUGAACAAACUUGCUCUUAGUCACACAUUGCAACUGCUCACAGAGAAGUGGGUCUUCAUUUGAAAAACUAAUGCCUUGCUAAUAGAAGUCAAAUGUCUCCUGUGUUGCCUCUGAAGGAAGCAGGGCAAACACCACUGAGCCAGAGUUCUUCAAAACUGACGUUUUUUUCUUAUUCCAGCAGAAGAAAAACAACUGAGGCAAAGGAGAUUCCAGUCAAACAGAAAAAUCAUCAUUAUGAACAAAAAAGACUGAGUUGAAUUCUGAAUUUUCAUUUACCAUAUGCAUUUCCUUUGAGUCAUAUUUACCAUCUAGCAGAGGUUUAUUGAAUUCUAGUUCCCCCUAUCAUCAGGUUUAAAAUAGAGGAAUUAGAGAAGUGACAAACUAUUACGCACUGGUGCCCCAUUUACUACAUCUGGGAAAAGUGCCAAGUCCUGUUUAGUGAGGGUGAGCAGGUGAGAUAUGAUGCACUAACAUCUGUUCAAAGUAUUUACUAACUACAUAGCAAAUGUGAGCAGCAGCUUGGUGCACUGAAUAGCAUCCCUUGCAAAUCAAAUUGAGAGAGGGACAAAUUCUCAUCAGAAGAGGAACAUGCCAGCACUAAGUAUCAUCAUGACUUAGCCUUUGGAUGCUCAGGUCCCAGAGUUCACUCCCUGUUAAACUGUGCUUACAGUAUGAUAGUCAGUGUCAGGACCUGAUACAUUGUUUUUCAUUCCCUGAGCAUUUUACUGCAGUGUAGUAAACCUCGUCAGAACAGAUAAGUAAAGCCCUGCAAGAAAAUAUUUUGAUAUGGGCUAGCUCUGCAAUCAGAUUUGUCAUAUGUUCACACAGCACAGAGGAUUGUGUGGGAAGAGGAGUGAAAGCUUGCAAAACAAGACUAACUUAAUUGGAGCUCCCAUGGGAUGAGAAAGUGUGGAAUGGACUCUCUUACCUCUCAGCUUGGCAACAGGUAGUAUGAUACACAGGGGUGUGUGUGAAAUUAUGUUCUUUACUCAGGCAGGAAUGCCCAUUAUGUCAGUCCUGUAAGAAGGCAGCAUUGGCUGAGCUUCCAUCCGCUUCCAGAGCUAACCCACUUUAUUCAGAACAGCAAGCUGAAUUAAAAAAAAGAAAGGUGCAUUCUAGUGUGAUACAGAAAUGUUACAUCAUAUGCUCACGUAGUAAGUAUGUGACCAAGUGCUCUUAUGAAUCAGGGCUUUGUCUAGCAGUGCACGUUUUCUGAUCCCUCAGUUGGAUUUUAUUUGCAAAUGUACAAACUGUAACUUUGAUGCACUAUGAACACAGAUAAUCAGUAGCCCACCACAGUCAGGUGCAAAGAGAUUGCUGUUAUGUAGCUCUUGGCUCACUGUUUUUACAGGCUUCCCUAUCUGUGCAUGGUGUGUUCCCCAUAGUAUCCUUAUUUGUAAGAGAACCUGCCUGUACUGCAGGAGGAAGUAUCUCACAAGAGAUUUUUCUCCUUUCUUCAUGAAAAAAAGCCCAAACCAAACCCCAUAUAUUUGUGAAUGGUUACUUGGGGAGUUUGGGCUGAAACAUCAUUUACAAUACAGAUGUGUACAGGCUGUCGGGAUGGAUUUAAAGAGAGAAGUUGAAAAAAAAAAAAAGUAAUUUGUAAUCCUUGCUGAACAGUAAGCAGAGUCAGGCAGCUUCCUACUGUCUGGAACUUAGAAAAAUUUCUUCCUAAUAAAGAGUAAUGCAAGGCUUCCUACAUAGAAAAAUUAGACACAGCAGGGAAGCAAAACUAGCAAAGAGAUCGGAGGUCUGGGAAAUGAGGCAGCAAAGCUGUUAACCAGCUAACAGAAAGAAAAGUUAGCAAGAUUUUAAUUGAUUAAUUGAAUAUAUGUGAAAGCAGUGGUGGGAGAGUGUAUUCUAGUACAGGAAUAAGCAGGGAUUGGAGGAUAACAUGGGAUGGAAACAGCAGGGUAAAACCAAAGAACUAAUUUAAACCUCCAUGUGUUGGAGGGAAGAUGCCAGGUAAGGUGGUCGUGAAUACCUCAUAUGGCCUUGCAGAUCUGUGCCCUGAUGGAAAACUGGAGCAGCCUUUCAUGGUAGGGGCUACAAGUGAAGAUAAAUGAUAAGGGGAGAAGGAAAGAGUACUAAUGAUUCUGUGCCAGAGCUAGUCUUCAUUUCUCUGCUUUUCCUUCUUUUCAGAUUCUGUUGCUUUUUGUCUCAUUUCAGAUGCUAAAUAGCCUGGGGACAGUGAGGUGCAGAACUUCUAGCAUACUCUAAUGUACUCUGUAACAUGUGGCCACUAAUUCUCUGAGUGUUCAGCCUCAUUUCAUACUUGUAUCACUGUGAGCUAUAGGAAACAUCCUUUGCUCCCAUGUCCUUUCAUUACUUACUUUUUUUAUAGGCCUAAAGUAGAUGGGAGUUCCCAGCUCUGCACCAUACUUUCUAGGAUGUGAGCUCAUGUGAUUAUUAAGCAUCAGAAUUUUUUGCUAUUCUGAAGUGCCUCUCAACAAGGCAAAAAGUACCCUCUGUCCCUCAGUGAAACUUUGUGAAUGUCAGAACAUACUUACAUGUCUUGUGAUGCUCUAUUUGCGAUGCUCUAUUUUGGAUUGCUGUAUAUUUCUUACUUGAGAUAAUGCUGCAAAUGUCCAUGAUGGAAGUAAAAGCCGCUACAUUUCUCUGCACUAAUUGUUGGCCUGCAAAUUGAAGAAAAAUGCUACGAAGAGAAAAACUGCCGAUAUUUUUAUGCUAACUUUUAUGUCCUUGAUAUCCUGCUUAGUUGCCAGAUGCAAUGACAUAAACCCUCGAGUCUCUGCUACAUGGAAAAGUGCAGCAUUGGUGCUUUUGGGUUUUAAUUUGCCUUUUCUCUACAAUUUCUAAAUUAUUAGGGUAUUCAGUUGCACAGGAAAUCCACACAUAAACAUUUUGGUGAAACUGUUUUCUCAGAGAACAUGUACAUUCAUGAACAUUGAUCAUGAAGAAUUUACAGGAGUGUACUGGCUUGGACAUGGUUUCACUGUGUUCCCCUGGUUACUUCAGAAGAGCCCCAAAACGGCUACUUUCCGAGUGAUCCAUCUGAUAUCUGAUGAACCAGAGAUUAAAUAACCUUUGCUUUGCCAAGUUUGAAUCAAACUGAAAUGUCACUCUCCCUCAUCUGCAAAUUUGGAUUUCUAUACAUACUAGUUUAUUUAGGUUGAACAACUCCCCAAAAGAAGAUAAGGGUGUACAGGCCUAAUUUCCACACGGUGGUUCUGGAUGUGCCUCAGGGCUACCCACUUGUGCUGCGUGGUACACAUGACAUGACAUGCAGUGCAAGCUGCUGUUUUCAUGAUGUAAAAUUCUGAUCUAAACUGGGGAGGUGAUUUGUAUUCAGGACUUUGAGGUCUUGAGUACUAUUGAGGCUAUUGCAGUGCACUGUGGGUUAGAAAGUUAGGGAGUUCAAGGAAAAUUAGAGAAUUUAAGGAAAAAGGCAUUUCAAAUAUAUAAGCAGGGGAAAAAAAAUCCUGUCCAGCUCUUUUAGUCACACUUCUCAACCUUUUUCUAAGUCGUACUAUAUUUUUGUUGUAUAUUAGUUACUAUAUUUACACUUGGAUGAUUUUGUUGCAUCAGUUUGCUGUCAUUUGUUUGAAAUGCAUCCAAUACAUUUUUCCUACAAUAAAAUGUUGUAACUUUGUGUAUUGUAUAUAAGAUUCUUCUUUUAAAAUUCCCUGUUGUCACACUUCAGCUCUGAUUGUAAUGCCUGUGGCUGGCUAUUGAUAGAUAAAACUGAGCACCAUGUUGUUUGGUGGCAAAGGGCUGAUAUAUGUGAAACCACAGCAGCACAAAAUGGUAUGAUGAAAAAAUCUGAAGGAAGUUUGUAAAGAAAGAAAACCUGUCCAGGAGAUUUUUACUCUCAGCUAAUCCUAAGGAAAAGCUUGUCACAGAAAAGUUUUUGUGGUCCUUUAUUGUAUUUGUAUUAUCUUGAUGUAUUGUAUUAUCUUUCAUUGUGUUUUAUACUAGAAAACCUAGAAACACAGUGCUCAAUUAAAACUUUUUCCACAGCUGACUUCAAACAGCCACAGGAGAUUUUGAUUUUGUGAUCUUAUCUGUCCAGACAUCACUUGCUAAGUGUGAAACCUCACCCAUAGAAAUGCUAAGAAAUCAACUCAAUAGCACAGAGGCAGAACUUUUUUCCACGUUUUGGUUCCAUUGGAAUGCAAGAUAUGAUCUUAGCACUCACAGUGUCAUUUCUCAUCUAUCUGAAUAUGAAGUAAGUCCCUUUUAUUUUCCAAAAGGUCUGCAUUUCUCACUAUUGCUCAUUUAAUUUCUGAAGUAUUUUUCUGUACUAGACUUGAAAUCUCUUACGUGUUAAUUCCAUUGCUCAAAGCCAAACAAAACCAUUCUUAAAAUGCUUACCCAUUUAACUUCCUGUAGUUAAAGGAUAGUUCCACUAAGCUUAUCUUUCUCAGCCUCCUUCCUGUUCCCUGAAAAUUACACUUGGACAAAACAUGAUCACUGAACCUGGUUUUAGACUGGACUUUGUUUUAAAAUCUAUCCGGUUGACAAUCGCUUGCUUUUUAAACCCAAAUCAAUGGUCUCUGAAGUAGGGAAUGAGCUCAGAAAGCAUUGGGAAGUAUGUCAGCAUAACGUGAAGUGACAUAAAAGUUUUUCAGGGAAGAAAGGAUAAGAAAAUAGAAAGCAAUGAUUACACCAUCAUGCACCCACAUCUUUCAUGCUGAGUGAGGGCUAAUUCCCAUGCAUUUUACUCCCUCUUGGAUAAGAUAUAGAACAAAGAGUGAGCAGGCUGGUUACAAUGUGCAAUAGUUUUUGCUUAAGAGAAAUUUCAACAGCUUGGAAGAGUUGAGAGGGGAGAGAUAUGAUGGAGGAAUAGAAUAUCUCAAAUGGUGUGAAUGAAGUGAAUGAUUAUUCAGUUUCUCACAAUACAUAAGUAGGUGAUAACAAGUGACUGUCAUCCUCAAACUGUAAAUGAAAGAAAAGAAAUUGCACUUUCCCUCAAGACCCUUAGUCCUGGAAAUCAGACUGAUUUUCAUGCCAAAAAUUGUAAUCCUUUUAAGCAAAUUGUUUAUAAAUAUAUAUUAUAUAAAUACAUACACAAAAAGGUGUAUUUAAUAGCCAUUGUUUCCAGAAAUUGCCUACUAGAAGUCCCAUUUCAGAGACCCAACAGUCAGCUAUGUAUGUAUGUAAUAAUUAUUGGACAUUUUACAAAGUGAUUGUGAAGAAUGUUGUUAUUGCUCAGAGCAGCAGUUUAAAGAAAGAAGCAUUUCAUUUCAGAAAGCUAAAUUACACAACUGAUCUGACAUGACUGAUUCUUGUACCUCUACAGUACUGGCAGUGACAUCAUUUGUUACGGGAUAACAGCCAUACCGUGUUAGUCAAAACAUCUAUUUAACCUUGUAUUUUACUUCUCAGGUAGCCAGCAGCAUCUAUGUAGGCAAACAGUGUUAAAACAGGGAAACCAUACAAGUGCUCUUUCCCCAGUGUGUAUGGACACAUUCAGUUCAGGGACUUCCUGAGCCACAGAAAAUAGUCUUGCGUUUAAUGGUCCUGAUGGAUAAAUGGAGCAAAUGUAAUUGGUGUGCUCAUGCACUACAGCAAUUUCUGAAUGAUUACGGAAAUGUUGCUUUUCUGCCUUUUGAUCUCUGGAUAAUCUGUGUGGAUUUCCCCUUAAAAAAAAAAAAAAGACCUAUUUUAUGUAGGGUGCAUGUUUUGUUUUGCCCAUGUUAGUACGUCACACAUCUACAAUUAAAAUAUUAGGAUUUUAUCUAUCUUACCUGCCUUUGUAGGCAUUAGAGUAUAGGCACAUAAUACUUAUACUGUGCAAUUAGGGGAACUAUUAAUUAUUGAAGGUACCACUGAACUGGAAAACAAUGUAUAUCAGCCUAUCUGCUGCAUUUGAAACUGCAAUUUAUGGAUUGUUUCAUCUGUGGAUCAUGCCCAACAUAUGACAACAGUAACUAAAAAAAAGUAAACUGCUCACUGGGCUUAAAUUUGCCAUAUGGGGACAUGUACCUCCAUUGGAAAAUUUCUAGACACCUGCAAACUGAGAUGGAAAAAUAUAUUAAGAAAGGAAUAUCAGUAAGGAAGGUGGGAAAAAGCUUCCCAUCAUGUUCAACAGAGAUCUUCAUCCUUUCAUUUUUGUUUUCUUUUUUUUUUAAAUUGACUGAUCAUCCAUAGUUCUUAAAGAAAAACAGCGAUCUACCAACUUCUGAGCAAAGAAAAUCCACUGGCCAGCUUGUGCACCAGAGGUUUUCAGUUAGAAGCAACCAAAACCAAACCUGAGCUUUGAAGAUUCAAUUCUUAUUUUGAUGUUGUCUGCAUUUGUUUGUUUGCACUCCCAAAUACUGGUGGGUACAGUUUUGGCUUUUUGUUUACAUGAUUUCAUAGACUGCCUUUCUGUGUUUUGCACAACAUUGGGUAAUAAAACAUUGGUUAGGAAGGUAUGGCCAAGGAGAUGGCCCAGAUGCCAACCUCACAUUACCAGUCUUUCCUAGAAAGUCCGAAAAGCCAUAAAAAACAAAAAGAUGCGUGAUAUAUCUGCCAAUCUCAGGUUAUGUCAGAAAGUGGUGUAACAGCCACAGCCUCACAGUGACUGAACUUUCUAUUUGAAACAAACGCCCACAAACAGAGUCACAGCCCGUAGGCAUCACGAUCCUCCAAGAGCUGUUCCGCUCCAGGAUGUCUGUGAAGUGAUUAUAAAAAUAGUAAAUUUAAUAAAUGAAUUUUAAACCCUAUCUCGGAAGUGCCACAGUCAUCGAGAGGAACGAGCCGCUUCCCCUGCAGAACGAGCUGGGGGCCAGCUGAAAACCCUCUCCUGCGCUAGCUGGCGCUCACGGUUGUUUUAGGCUGUUGGGCUUUCCUCUUUAGACUUGCACCUACAACAACAACAAAAAAACACACCCAAACCAAACCCCACCUUCCUCCGGAGUACCACGCCGCUGGCGCUCCGGGAAACCAGGAGGGGAGGCACCGGCCCUCCCAGCAGCCCCACGCCGGGCCCGCCCGCGCUGCCGGGAAAUGUAGUGCGGGCCGGGCCGGCGGGAGCGAGCGGGGGCGGCCCGCGGGGCCGUGGGGGGGGGUCCCCGCCGUGCCCCGCGCCCGCAGCCCCCCCGCAUGGCUGGGCAGCACCCGGGGCGCGCCUGCGGGGGCUGCCGGAGGGGCUCGGGCCUCUGGUGCCACAAAAUGGCACCUGCUGGUUCGAGCGUGGGGGCUCGGUGCUCGGCUGAGGCCCGGCCCCGAGGGCAGAUGAGCCCCGUUGCGGCAACGGCGGCACUUGCGCAAUGAGGGCAGAUAGAGCAAUAGGCACCUGAUACAGCCACGUGGGUCGCGCAAUGUUUUCUCUGGGCCUCGAGCUUGGGCGUGCCCCUGUGUGAGGACGUUUCCAUGGGUGGGAAACACAGUUUUGCGCUUACAUGUGAGCAGGUUUCCACCGUGCACUCUGGCAGUGCCAGGUUUCAGUGUUACAGGCCAUGUUACAACCAGAUCUGCUUCUCCAUGUUACAAGGACUGGAGUCUCUUUUUCCAAGUCUGUGAUGCUUAAAGCUCAAGUCAUCCACAGUUCCUGGCUUCCCACCUUGUCUUCCCCAUCGCUUUUCCUUUGUUGGUGGUGUGCUUUCCUCAACUCUUUUGGGAUCAGAAGCAGAUCACAGUCCCUUCUCCCUCAGGAGAAUCUUACCUACUUCCACCAAGAAGAUCCUUAGCCAACCUAUACUUACUACUUGUUGUAAUUCUAUCAGGCUUCCAAGCACCACCUCUUUGACAUUUGGACAUACCUCAUAUACACACCAUUUUAAGAUCAGAUUCUCAGCUCUUCUCACCACUCCAUUUUCGUGCGUUACUAACUUCCACACUCCCAAAAUCUACAGUCCUUCCUACUCAGCAAGCUGCCCACUGUCUUAUUCUUUCCACCCUUGACUAUUCAAUUUUGGUUUUAUUUCACCUCUUUAAAUCUUAAAAAUCAGUCCUUUACUUAUCAGUUGCAUCAUUAAAAUAGCAUCUAUGUCUCGGUCAUUCGUAGUUGACCUCAGAAAUCCAAGGCAAGACUUUCCACAGGGGAAGUUGCCCAGACACUUGACUGUCAGGACAAUGAAAUAUGUAUGAGAUUAUGAGAGGCUGGUGGCAGAUCAGUUCCUAAUACAGCAAAGCCAGAGAACCUCUUAAACAUCAGGGAUGGGGGAACAGAAAAUGCAUUGUUAAUGACCCACAGGAUCUGUUUCUUUCUUCAUUCCUCCUGUUAGGUCUGGAAAGCCGGGACAGGAGGAGCUCUGAUGCACAGGCUAGCUGUUCCCUCAGCUAAGCCUCUUCUCUGAGGUGAAACAACAGUAGUCAAAGCUGGGAUAGUAAAGCACAUAGGAACAUGCUCAGCCAGCCAAUCUUACACAGGUCAGGACUGCAGGAUAAGAGAACUUUCUGCUGCAUGGGCCUGAAAAGGAGCUAGUGGGGGGCAGCAGUGUUGUAAUGACACCUGUGCUGUUUGACUUCUUUUCCUUGGCACUGGGAAUGUGCUGGCCUAAAUGAUGCCAAUCAUGAAGCUACCCACUGUAACCUACUAGAAGGUUACUGUGAAGUGCAGAGCUUUUCUCACAAGCUCUCAUUAUGAGAGAACUCUUUCAAAACCCAUACAAAUAAUGUCUGACUUAUCUACUCUUCAUACAUCUUAAUGAACAUUCAAAUAUUUAGGUCUGUCUCUUGCUAGUAUUUGUUGUCCACCUCUUCAUCAGUUCUGUUUCUGUUGUGUCUAACUUCCAUAUGACUCUUUCUGCAUGUAAUAAAUCAUGAAUGAAAUUUGGGUGGGAGGCAAAGUGCUCAAGAAUAAUUCACUCAGUGACUUGCUUGCUUUGUUUGGGUGUUUGUUUGGGCUUGUUUAUUUUACAGGAAGAGACAUGUGUUUCUUCAUCUGCUAAAUAUUUAUUCUGCCAUCACAGUAUUCAGAUGUGAUAGGAAAUCAAACUCACUGGGGUUUAUUUCAUGUAUUUCCCUCUAAACCUCCUUCAUGUUUGGCAAACUUGCUUUGCAUGUGGAAAAUUGAACUGUAAACAUUUUGAAACUAGAUUGUCUUCUUAACUUUUCCUCUGAAUCAUUUAACAUGCUCCAUUGAAAAGUUUGUAAUACUGAACAUUAUUUUCUGAUGGCCCUAUAAUAAAACAAAGAUAAAUUAAAA